rnacentral:tRNA from 1 species
CAAAGGGCCUAUAGCUCAGUUGGUUAGAGCACACGCCUGAUAAGCGUGAGGUCGGUGGUUCAAGUCCAUUUAGGCCCA